rnacentral:snRNA from 1 species
AGGUCCAUUUGGCAGGAGAGACACCAUGAUCAUGAAAGUGGUUUUCCCAGGACGAACCUCAUCCAUUGUGCGUGCUGACCCCUGCAAUUUUCCCAGUGUGGGAAACUCGGCUGCAUGAUUUGUGGAUUAAAAAC